CCUACGGGAGGCAGCAGUGGGGAAUAUUGGGCAAUGGGCGCAAGCCUGACCCAGCAACGCCGCGUGAAGGAAGAAGGCUCUCCGGUUGGUAACUUCCUUUUACAGGGAAGAGCAGAGGACGUUACCUGUCGCCUAUGCCACGGCUAACUACGUGCGAGCAGCCGCGGUAAUACGGAGGUGGCACGCGGUUUCCGGAUUUACUGGGUGUAAAGGGCGUGUAGGCGGGCUGACAAGUCAGAUGGGAACUCCGGGGGCUCAACCCCCGAACUGCAUUUGAAACUGUCGGUCUUGAGUAUCGGAGAGGCAGGCGGAAUUCCUGGUGUAGCGGUGAAAUGCGUAGAUAGUAGGAAGAACACCAGUGGCGAAGGCAGCCUGCUGGACGACAACUGACGGUGAGGCACGAAAGCGUGGGGAGCAAACAGGAUUAGAUACCCCAGUAGUC
rnacentral:rRNA from 1 species